rnacentral:rRNA from 1 species
UGGAUUGGUGCCUUCGGGAACGUCUGACACAGGUGCUGCAUGGCUGUCGUCAGCUCGUGUCGUGAGAUGUUGGGUUAAGUCCCGUAACGAGCGCAACCCUUGUCCUUAGUUACCAGCACGUUAUGGUGGGCACUCUAAGGAGACUGCCGGUGACAACCGGAGGAAGGUGGGGAGUGACGUCAAGUCAUCAUGGCCCUUACGGCCUGGGCUACACACGUGCUACAAUGGUCGGUACAAAGGGUUGCCAAGCCGCGAGGUGGAGCUAAUCCCAUAAAAACCGAUCGUAGUCCGGAUCGCAGUCUGCAACUCGACUGCGUGAAGUCGGAAUCGCUAGUAAUCGUGAAUCAGAAUGUCACGGUGAAUACGUUCCCGGGCCUU